GGACCGUCCCGCAGUCACAGAAAUCACCUUUGCUGGCACUUAUCAUCUGGAGGACCAUCUCUGCGGCUCCGCGCUCAUGCAAACGCGCUUGCUGGAGACCUCUGGAAUGCCUUAGCCAAUUCUUGAAACUUACACUUUUUGACCUACAAGCAACUAUUUAUCCAUAAAAUGUGAUGACCAUGCUAAUUCAAGAGCAGUUUCUUCCGGCUCAUUCUCAAAGAAACAACAGUAGUGACUGUUGGUUUUUGUGGCCUGACUGAAACACAGUCAGAGGUGAUCCCUUCAUACAUCCUAAAUACUUAAUUUACGUCAAGGCUGAAGAGUCUUAGGAACUGAUUUCUAAGGACUUACUUUUGACAUCUUGCUUUUGCUGUCUCCAGUUAAAAAUGCCAGAUUAUUAAUUUCAUUCUGAAUCACAAAAUUUUGCUCUUCCCUCUUGAAGUUCUAAAUGGGGGGAAAUAAAAAAGCACAUAUUGUAAGAAAA